rnacentral:rRNA from 1 species
AGAGUUUGAUCCUGGCUCAGAACGAACGCUGGCGGCGUGAUAAGACAUGCAAGUCGAACGAGACUUUCCGUUGUAGCAAUACGAUGGAAAGUUUAGUGGCGAACGGGUGCUUAACACGUGGGCAACCUGCCAUGAAGUGGGGGAUAGCUCGCCGAAAGGCGAAUUAAUACCGCAUGUGAUUAGAGAGGACAUCCUUUCGAAAUUAAAGUCGGGGCAACCUGACGCUUCUUGUGGGGCCCGCGGCCUAUCAGCUAGUUGGUGAGGUAACGGCUCACCAAGGCUUUGACGGGUAGCUGGUCUGAGAGGACGACCAGCCACACUGGGACUGAGACACGGCCCAGACACCUACGGGUGGCAGCAGUCGAGAAUUUUUGACAAUGGGGGAAACCCUGAUCGAGCGACGCCGCGUGGAGGAUGAAGGUCUUCGGAUUGUAAACUCCUGUCAUUUGGGAACAAGGUGCACACGUUAACUGCGUGCGUAUUGAUAGUACCAGAAGAGGAAGGGACGGCUAACUCUGUGCCAGCAGCCGCGGUAAUACAGAGGUCUCAAGCGUUGUUCGGAUUCAUUGGGCGUAAAGGGUGCGUAGGCGGCGCGGUAAGUCGGGUGUGAAAUCUCGGAGCUUAACUCCGAAACUGCAUUCGAUACUGCCGUGCUUGAGGACUGGAGAGGAGACUGGAAUUUACGGUGUAGCGGUGAAAUGCGUAGAUAUCGUAAGGAAGACCAGUGGCGAAGGCGGGUCUCUGGACAGUUCCUGACGCUGAGGCACGAAGGUCAGGGGAGCAAACGGGAUUAGAUACCCUAGUAGUCC